rnacentral:rRNA from 1 species
GAUAAACGCUGGCGGCGUGCCUAAUGCAUGCAAGUCGCACGGGAGCGCUUUCGGGCGUCGACCGUGGCGGACGGGUGAGGAACACGUGGCUAACCUGCCCUUAUCUGGGGGAUACCCGCCGGAAACGGCGACUAAUACCGCAUGAGCUUGCUUGGGGGGACCUGGGCAAGGAAAGGUUGCAAGACCGGGUGAGGAGGGGGCUGCGGCCGAUUAGCUAGCUGGUGGGGUAACGGCCUACCAGGGCGGUGAUCGGUAGCUGGUCUGAGAGGACGGCCAGCCACACGGGGACUGAGACACGGCCCCGACUCCUACGGGAGGCAGCAGUGGGGAAUAUUGGACAAUGGGGGCAACCCUGAUCCAGCGACGCCGCGUGGGUGAAGAAGGCCUGCGGGUUGUAAAGCCCUUUCGGUGGGGAAGAAAAGUCUCGACCUAAUACGUCGGGACCUUGACGUAACCCACUAAAGAAGCACCGGCUAACUCUGAGCCAGCCGCCGCGGUAAC